rnacentral:misc_RNA from 1 species
CAAGUUGGCCAAAAGCGGGGGAGAUUAAAUGUAGAGGAGGGGGAAGAGCAGCCUAGAAAGAAGGUUCGCAUCGGAGUUCCUGCAUCACAGUGGAUUUCGAUUUACAAUGCUAGGAAGCCCAUGAAACAGAGGUACCAUUAUAAUGUAACAGAUACAAGACUAGCAGAGCAUGUGGAGAAAGGGACUGAAGAUGGAUUAUACAUAAGUUGUGUGGCAUCUUGUUCCGACUUCUGGGCUAUUAUCAUGGAUGCUGGAACCAAUUUCACUAGCCAAGUUUAUGAGCUAUCACAAUCAUUCUUGCACAAGGAGUGGGUUAUGGAACAGUGGGAGAAGAACUAUUAUAUUAGUUCUCUUGCU